UACGACGGGUGCAAGCGUUACUCGGAAUUACUGGGCGUAAAGCGUGCGUAGGUGGUGAGUUAAGUCUGUCGUGAAAGCCCCGGGCUCAACCUGGGAAUGGCGAUGGAUACUGGCUCGCUAGAGUGCGGUAGAGGAGAGUGGAAUUCCCGGUGUAGCAGUGAAAUGCGUAGAGAUCGGGAGGAACAUCAGUUGCGAAGGCGGCUCUCUGGACCAGCACUGACACUGAGGCACGAAAGCGUGGGGAGCAAACAGG
rnacentral:rRNA from 1 species